rfam:Trichobilharzia regenti genome assembly, scaffold: TRE_scaffold0033995
UCUCCAAAUCAUCCUUCAGAAUAGCUGGCAUUCUAGGUAGUAGACAUUUGUAUUCAGCUAGUUGAAUGAUUGGAGGUACUGUGUAGGAAAUCUCCUCGACCUAUUCUCAAACUUUAAAUCGGUAAGGCGUUUUUUUCUUGAAUGUGAGUGCUAAGUUGGUCUUUUUUGGUAAGAAGAACUAGAGCAAUCGAACGCACCGAACGUACUAUUCAGGUGCCUGAUGUAAAACUUAAAAAAUAUGACAAAAUGUAUUGCUUGAUAUAAAGAGUGGGAAGGUUUCCAAGGGAGUCUAAAAUCUCCAAGGAGUGAACAACAACUCACCUGCUGAAUCAUAUUACCAUUAGAUUGGAUACUGCCCACAACUGCUGCAAGAUUGAUUUAAUCAAGGUGAGGA